CCCUUAGAUGUUCUGGGCCGCACGCGUGCUACACUGAGUGGAUCAGCGGGUCAGGUUGCGCGAAAGUGUUUCCUAAUCUUGAAAUCCGCUCGUGAUGGGGAUUGACGGUUGCAAUUUUUCGUCAUGAACGAGGAAUACCUUGUAAGCGCGGGUCAUCAUCCCGCGCUGAAUACGUCCCUGCCCUUUGUACACACCGCCCGUCGCUCCUACCGAUUGAGUGGUCCGGUGAGGCUUUGGGAUCUGAGCAAAGAGAGCGUUUCGCUCGUUUUGCCCGGAAAACUCAGUCGAACCUUAUCAUUUAGAGGAAGGAGAAGUCGUAACA
rnacentral:rRNA from 1 species